rnacentral:rRNA from 1 species
GUCACUGACGAGUUUGAUCCUGGCUCAGGAUUAACGCUGGCAGUGUGUCUAAUACAUGCAAGUCGAGCGCGGUAGCAAUACCGAGCGGCGAACGGGUGAGUAACACGUUGGAAUCUGCCCCGAACUCAGGGAUAACCCGUGGAAACACGGGCUAAUACCGGAUAGUCCCGCAAGGGUAAAGAUUUAUCGGUUCGGGAGGAGCCUGCGUCCUAUCAGCUUGUUGGUGAGGUAAUGGCUCACCAAGGCUAUGACGGGUAGUUGGUCUGAGAGGAUGAUCAGCCACAAUGGGACUGAGACACGGCCCAUACUCCUACGGGAGGCAGCAGUAAAGAAUCUUCCACAAUGGGGGAAACCCUGAUGGAGCAACACUGCGUGAUCGAUGAAGGUCGUAAGAUUGUAAAGAUCUUUUCUGAGGGAAGAAUUUUGACGGUACCUCAGGAAUAAGCACCGGCUAACUCCGUG